UCAGUUGCUGAUGGGGAGCUGCCAGGAUCCUGGGGAUUUUGGAGGAGAUGUCAUGAUCUUGGUCUCCAUUGUACAGCCUCUGCUAGAGGAGAUCAAUGCCAUUUUGGUUAAACACCAGCUGGACAUGCUCAAAUGCACCUGAAACACAAGGAUGCCCAAUCACCUGAUGAUUGUACAUAUCUACUACUGUACUGCACAAGCUAAUUAACCUAGCUUGCAUUGUAAAAUGAAGAUUUGUUGGUGUUUCUUUUAGAAACUGCUGGUGGUUGGUUCCAGACUCCCUUUUUGUUAAGCUGUCAGAGAUGUCUUUGCUGUA